rnacentral:lncRNA from 1 species
GUUUUACAUAUUUUUUUUACAGCCAUGGGAUGCUUUUGACAUCACAGAUUUAUCUGGAAGCCCUGAGAGAAGCCUGAUAGGAACUAUUCUGGGUGUGCUUUUUCUGAGGAGAAAGAGAAAGAAGGAUUUAAUUAGUUGUGAUAGCUACCAUCCNUCCAGCACUGAUAUAUUUACUUCCUGCUACAUUAGGUGGUAGUUUUCAGCAUCUUAAAGGAAAGCGUCCCCAGAAAUAAAACAUCACAAUCAAAACA